rnacentral:rRNA from 1 species
AUUGAACGCUGGCGGAAUGCUUUACACAUGCAAGUCGAACGGCAGCACGGGGCAACCUGGUGGCGAGUGGCGAACGGGUGAGUAAUAUAUCGGAACGUGCCCAAUCGUGGGGGAUAACGUAGCGAAAGUUACGCUAAUACCGCAUACGAUCUACGGAUGAAAGCGGGGGAUCGCAAGACCUCGCGCGAAUGGAGCGGCCGAUAUCAGAUUAGGUAGUUGGUGGGGUAAAGGCUCACCAAGCCAACGAUCUGUAGCUGGUCUGAGAGGACGACCAGCCACACUGGAACUGAGACACGGUCCAGACUCCUACGGGAGGCAGCAGUGGGGAAUUUUGGACAAUGGGCGCAAGCCUGAUCCAGCCAUUCCGCGUGCAGGAUGAAGGCCUUCGGGUUGUAACUGCUUUGUACGGAACGAAACGGUCUGCCUAACUACGGCAGGCUAAUGACGGUACCGUAAGAAUAAGCACCGGCUAACUACGUGCCAGCAGCCGCGGUAA